rnacentral:rRNA from 1 species
GACAGAGGGUGCAAACGUUGUUCGGAAUUACUGGGCGUAAAGCGUGUGUAGGCGGCCUUGCAAGUCGGAUGUGAAAGCCCUGGGCUCAACCCAGGAAGUGCACUCGAUACUGCUAGGCUCGAGUACUGGAGAGGUUGGUGGAAUUCUCGGUGUAGAGGUGAAAUUCGUAGAUAUCGAGAGGAACACCGGUGGCGAAGGCGGGUUGCUGGGCUGACACUGACGCUGAGGCGCGAAAGCUAGGGGAGCGAACGGG